GACGAACGCUGGCGGCGUGCUUAACACAUGCAAGUCGAACGGGAUUUAGUAGACAGAAGCCUCGGCUAAAGAUUACUAAUGAGAGUGGCGAACGGGUGAGUAACGCGUGAGCAACCUGCCUAUGACAGUGGGAUAGCCUCGGGAAACCGGGAUUAAUACCGCAUAAAAUCGUAGAAACACAUGUUUCAACGGUCAAAGAUUUAUCGGUCAUAGAUGGGCUCGCGUCUGAUUAGCUAGUUGGUGAGAUAACAGCCCACCAAGGCGACGAUCAGUAGCCGGUCUGAGAGGAUGACCGGCCACAUUGGAACUGAGACACGGUCCAAACUCCUACGGGAGGCAGCAGUGGGGAAUAUUGCACAAUGGGGGAAACCCUGAUGCAGCGACGCCGCGUGAACGAAGAAGGUAUUCGUAUCGUAAAGUUCUGUCCUAUGGGAAGAUAAUGACAGUACCAUAGAAGAAAGCGCCGGCUAAAUACGUG
rnacentral:rRNA from 1 species